GACGAACGCUGGCGGCGUGCCUAAUACAUGCAAGUCGAGCGGACGAAUCGAAAGCUUGCUUUUGAUUCGUUAGCGGCGGACGGGUGAGUAACACGUGGGCAACCUGCCCUGUAGACGGGGAUAACACCGAGAAAUCGGUGCUAAUACCGGAUAACACGAAAUGUCGCAUGGCGUUUCGUUGAAAGACGGCGCAAGCUGUCGCUACAGGAUGGGCCCGCGGCGCAUUAGCUAGUUGGUGAGGUAACGGCUCACCAAGGCGACGAUGCGUAGCCGACCUGAGAGGGUGAUCGGCCACACUGGGACUGAGACACGGCCCAGACUCCUACGGGAGGCAGCAGUAGGGAAUCUUCCGCAAUGGACGAAAGUCUGACGGAGCAACGCCGCGUGAGCGAAGAAGGCCUUCGGGUCGUAAAGCUCUGUUGUUAGGGAAGAACAAGUAACGCAGUAACUGGCGUUACCGUGACGGUACCUAACGAGAAAGCCACGGCUAACUACGUG
rnacentral:rRNA from 1 species